UACGUAGGGGGCAAGCGUUGUCCGGAAUCAUUGGGCGUAAAGAGCGUGUAGGCGGUCCGGUAAGUCGGUUGUGAAAGUCCAGGGCUCAACCCUGGGAUGCCGACCGAUACUGUCGGACUAGAGUUCGGAAGAGGCGAGUGGAAUUCCCGGUGUAGCGGUGAAAUGCGCAGAUAUCCGGAGGAACACCAGCGGCGAAGGCGGCGUCCUGGACUGGUACUGACGCUCAGGAGCGAAAGCGUGGGGAGCGAUCCGG
rnacentral:rRNA from 1 species